AGGAGCAAGAUAUGGCACCACAAAAUCAAGAUCAACAGGAUAAUAGAGUGUCAAGCUGUAUUUAAAACUUACGAACAUGCAAAACUAUUCAAUAUAUAGUUUAAUAGUACAGAAAGUUUAAGUCAAGCUACAAAGAAAGGCAGUUGACUAAUGAACAUAUAAUUCAGGAGAGUGGCUACCGAGGACGUGGUUGUUUGGUGAAGGGGGUGGUGGCCCACAGAAGGAGGCUAAGAACUUUGGCCUACCUGUCAGUCCUGCCCUGCGUGUCACCUCAGCCUGGAAGUCCAUAGGACUGUGAUGAAGAUGACUGCUUGCAUUUUCUGAAUCACUUUGUCGAUGAGACAUGCAUCCUAUUAGAUCUAACAAAGCUUCACAGAAAGGUUGUUUUGAAGUUGACACUGAGGAAGAUAUAAGUGCUCUAGGAUCAGUAUGUGAGGCUGCCACAAACAUGCUAUAGUCUGCACAUUCUUGCAGAGAGGUUGCAGAGUCUGCUUGGGAGAGAAGCCUCAAAAACAUGGCUGGUGUCUUGGCAGAGUUUGCUCUGGCCCCCAGGAGGGUGUACAAACAGCCUUCAUGAGAAGGUGACUUGCUGGCCACUCUUAACCACUAGAAGAAACUGAUGCCAUGGAACUUUGAAAAAUCAGAAAGCAAUUCCACAAAAGAAGAACCUCUGAAGAUAGUAGAGCCCAAUGAAGAUAAAUGACAUCGCCCAUAGGAGGGAACAGUGGUAUCAACCUAAAGGGGCUCACUGCCCUAUGUGCUGGAGGCCAAUACUAUGACAAUGGGUUUUUGAGAAAAUAAAAGCUUUGCAUUGAGAUUCAACCCCUAAA